GCCUCUAACGAAGAUGAGUCGAACCACAGCGAUUAUUUAACCUCAGGUCGACCUUCACCUUCGUAUGGAAGUUCCGGUACGUUCCAUACUGCUCCUCAAAAUUGCAACGAAGAAGAUAAAAAACGAAUUUUAAACGAAAUUGUCCAAACGUUAAGCAGUAUGGGUAAUGUUCAUUCCUUGCGUGGAGAACACGAAUCAG
rnacentral:rRNA from 14 species